AUUCCACAAGCCUACCUUUGUAACAGAGGAAUAAGCCUACCCCACAAAGUCAGUAAACUAAGUCAGUAAACCAACCAACCCUUUGCUACCAUGAUACUUAACUGCAUCCCUUUCCACCACUGCUGAAGUAAGGAAGUAAGGAAGUAGUUGACUAUUGACUGACACCUACUAAUUGAAUAGCCCGGUAGUGCAGUCCAGCGUGAAGUCCAUUCUUGUCCCUCGCCUAGGUAAGAUGUGGCAGAAAUGAUAGUAAGGGCCCUUUGUUUGCCUCUGCCUCUCUAUCCUCUGGACUAGCUUGCUUCUCUCCCCUCUGUCAACUCAUUCCAUUCCAUUCCUCUGUAGUGACCUGACCUGGAUUGAUUUGAUAUACCCGAUACCUCCUAAGG
rnacentral:lncRNA from 1 species